UCUUGAGUCUUUAUUUUCUAUAAAGACGGUAGCUCAAAUAGUCAGGCUUUAUUUGCUCUUACAAAUCUGAGGUUCGAGUCUCUCUUGAGUACUUACGUAGCAAUUGCUAUAGUUUUCUCGUCCCCAAUAUUGUAUGUUAGGCGUAGAGCUUAGCUUUUUUUUUUCAUCAGACAAAGUUUUGUUUACUGUUUCCUAAAUCUCCAGCUUUAUGCAAAAGAUGCAUCAAAGAAUUGGAAGCUUGUUGGAUCAGAUGGAGGCUACCUUUUGACAACAAAAGAGCCAUCAGCAAAUGUGGUCCUAUUGGAUUAUAUUUCAACUGAAAAAUGGCAAGACGUGGUAGAUUUUGAUGACCACCUUGAUGACAUUAGCAAAGAUUGGCUAAACCCAGAACUCUUCAAGUAAUUUGGCCAUGUUAGCAUUUUUUGUCACUUGACUAUCGUUGAAAGUGUCUGGGAUUCAUGCUUGCUUUACCGAGUUGUUCACAAUGGAUUUAAGGCUCUACAAAGGCUUGACUAGUCAUCAAGUUGAUUGACUCAUUCUGGGAAAUGUUUGCUUCGAGAUACAUACCAUCUUUUCAGUGGUCUCCCAGCUUGACUUUUUUUUUUUUUUUUUAUAUCUGUUAUAAACUUGUCUGAUUCUUUAAAGCAUUUGAAGUAAUUUCAUAACUGGUAGAAUUUGAAUUCAAGCUCAAGUAUUUUUGUGUUUUGUUU